UCGGAUAUGGUGUAAUGGCUAACAUUGCCGCCUCUCAUUUGGGACUUCUUCAUGCGAAUUUUCGCGGCAGCUCGGGGUUCGAUUCCCCGUAUCCGAG